rnacentral:misc_RNA from 1 species
GAAAUGCGAUAAGUAAUGUGAAUUGCAGAAUUCAGUGAAUCAUCGAAUCUUUGAACGCACCUUGCGCUCCUUGGUAUUCCUUGGAGCAUGCCUGUUUGAGUAUCAUGAAAUCUUCAAAGUAAAACGUUUGUUAACUCAAUUGGUUUCUACUUUGGUAUUGGAGGUCUUUGCAGCUUCACACCUGCUCCUCUUUGUUCAUUAGCUGGAUCUCAGUGUUAUGCUUGGUUCCACUCGGCGUGAUAAGUUAUCUAUCGCUGAGGACACUGUAAAAGGUGGCCAAGGUAAAUGCAGAUGAACCGCUUCUAAUAGUCCAUUGACUUGGACAAUACUUUUAUGAUCUGAUCUCAAAUCAGGUAGGACUACCCGCUGAACUUAAGC